GGGGCAAAAUCAACUACUAGAAAUAAUUGGUUAAGAACCUACCCAUAGAUGUACAUGGGUGAGCCGGCCAAAGUCAAGCUCAUAUGCAAUUGUAUAGAUUCUAGUACCCGCUAAGGAAUUAGGAUAAUUUCUUGAAUUGGAGGUAGAGGUUAUCAAUUAGUUUAAAAUAGUGAGAGAAUCUUUAGACUAAAGUCCAUAUCUUUAAGCUUAAUCGAUUCAUAUACUAAUUAGGUUUUGAUUUUUCUUUUGCAGUUAUGCC
rnacentral:lncRNA from 1 species